UUGGCACCUGGAGCAUUACGUGCUUUGGUGGACAGUAAUGACUCAGCCAGGCAAGGGAGUACGUGCUCCUCGCAGCCUGGCAGCCCCACAGGCGGAAAGAUGAAGCAGAGGGUGGUACAGAUGGGAACAUUCUGCCUUCCUGAGGACUGGAUCGAAAUGGGAGGAAAAAGUUGCUCCUUACAGCGUUGCUCGUCUUCCCACUGCGCUCCACAACAUCUCCUCCAGAAACAGCAGUUUUGAGAAGGGGGGAACAGCUCUCUGUGAGAUCACCUUUACGUUACUCUUUGGAGCCCAGGACACAAAGGUAACAGUUCUGCGAGCUGUCUUGAUGGGAGCUGUAUCACUG